AAGCUCGUAGUUGAAUUUCGGGAUUAGUACGUCGGUCGUACCUUAGGUACGUACUGGUGUUACUGGUUCCUACCUUCUGACGAACCAUCAUGUCAUUAAUUUGGUGUGGUGGGGAAUCAGGACUGUUACUUUGAAAAAAUUAGAGUGUUUAAAGCAGGCUCGCGCUUGAAUACAUUAGCAUGGAAUAAUGAAAUAGGACGUUGAUCCUAUUUUGUUGGUUUCUAGGAUUGACGUAAUGAUUAAAGGGAUAGUUGGG
rnacentral:rRNA from 1 species